GGCCAGACUCCUACGGGAGGCAGCAGUGGGGAAUAUUGCACAAUGGGGGAAACCCUGAUGCAGCGACGCCGCGUGAGUGAAGAAGUAUUUCGGUAUGUAAAGCUCUAUCAGCAGGGAAGAAGAAGGACGGUACCUGAGUAAGAAGCCCCGGCUAACUACGUGCCAGCAGCCGCGGUAAUGCGUAGGGGGCAAGCGUUAUCCGGAUUUACUGGGUGUAAAGGGAGCGUAGACGGCAUGGCAAGUCAGAUGUGAAAGCCCGGGGCUCAACCCCGGGACUGCUUUGGAAACUGUGUUGCUGGAGUGCAGGAGGGGUAAGCGGAAUUCCUAGUGUAGCGGUGAAAUGCGUAGAUAUUAGGAGGAACACCAGUGGCGAAGGCGGCCUGCUGGACUGCAACUGACGUUGAGGCUCGAAGGCGUGGGGAGCAAACAGGAUUAGAUACCCGCGUA
rnacentral:rRNA from 1 species